UAAAUUGACAAUGUAAAUUUAAAAUGAAAUCAGUUGCACUAAACAACAAAACUGAUCCAAAAGUUAAAAAAAAUUAAUCAGUAACAAUUAAAAAGAUUAAUACGACGUACAUAUAUCAUUUGAAAGAAAUUAUUACUGGAAAAAUUAAACAAGUGGCAGAGAGAUGAAUCGAUUUUUGGUGAUUAUAUAGUUGGCAUCUUGGAGAGUGAUGAAAUGCAUGAAUAAAAAGCAGAUACUUUACAGGAACUGUUAGGUGCAGUGGUGGGUGAUACAAGUUAAUUUUAGUUAAAAUGAUAUGAGGAAAAAGCACGAAAAAUAUAACCUGUUAACAAGGCACUCCAAUAUACAGAGGAAGAGCGUCAGACACAUAAUGUUGCUUGUAAAUCCUACCAAAGCUGUUACUGUACCAUAUACAAUUUGGAAUAUCAUGACAUCACGCGGCUUAUUGUUUAUUGCUUACAGCUGAUUAGGUCUAUUAAAUUAUGCGAUAUGGAGUCAAUGUCGUCACUAAAAUACUAGACCUGUCGGAUUCUGUAUCUGAUGUUUUUUUUUCGCAUUUCAUACGAAUUACUAGUGCGAUGGAUGUUAAAAAACUCAUUGAUGAAAUCGAAA